rnacentral:rRNA from 1 species
AUUGAACGCUGGCGGCAGGCCUAACACAUGCAAGUCGAGCGGAGCGGCGGACGGGUGAGUAAUGCAUAGGAAUCUGACUGGUAGUGGGGGAGAACGUCCGGAAAGGGGCGCUAAUACAGAAUACUAGCAGAUGAGCCUAGGUCGGAGUAGCUAGUUGGUGGGGUAAAGGCCUACCAAGGCGACGAUCGGUAACUGGUCUGAGAGGAUGAUCAGUCAACCUGGAACGUAGACACGGUCCAGUCACCUACGGGAGGCAGCAGUGGGGAAUAUUGAACAAUGGGCUAAAGCCUGAUCCAGCCAUGCCGCGUGUGUGAAGAAGGUCUUCGAUUUGUAAAGCACUUUAAGUUGGGAGGCGUUACCCGCAGAAUGAGCACCGGCUGACUUCGUGCCAGCGGCCGCGGUGAUAC